GGUGGGGUAGCGAAGCGGCCUAACGCGCCUGCCUUGAGAGCAGGUGGCUUCUAGCCUCAUGGGUUCGAAUCCCAUCCCCACCG
rfam:Haloterrigena turkmenica DSM 5511, complete genome.